rnacentral:rRNA from 1 species
CUCCAGUUGAUCCUGCUGGAGGGGAUUGCUAUCAGAAUUUGCCUAAGCCAUGCAAGUCUACCCACUGACUUCAGUGGGUGGCGUACGGCUCAGUAGCACGUAGUCAAUCUGCCCUAGGGAAGGGGAUAACCUCGAGAAAUUGAGGGUAAUACCAUAUGGGCGAUAGAUGCUGGAAUGCUUUAUCGUUUAAAAGGCCGGUGAAUUGGAGCCGGUCCGCCCUAGGAUGAGACUGCGCCUGAUUAGGUAGUUUGUGGGGUAACGGCCCACCAAGCCGAUAAUCAGUGGGGGCGAUGGGAGUCGGAGCCCCGAGAAGGACACUGAGACAAGGGUCCUAGUCCUACGGGAUGCAGCAGGCGCGAAACCUUUACAAUGCGCGCAAGCGUGAUAAGGAAAUUCUGAGUGGUAGCCUUAAAGGCUAUCUUUUGACGAGCCUAGAACGCUCGUAGAAUAAGGGGUGGGUAAGACCAGUGCCAGCCGCCGCGGUAACACUGGCAGCCCGAGUGAUCUCCACGAAUAUUGGGUCUAAAGAGUCCGUAGCUGGCCUGAUAAGUUUCUUGUGAAAUAUUGGAGCUUAACUUCAAUGCGCGCAAGAAAUACUGUCAUGGCUCGAGAGCGGGGGAGGUAGGGAGUACGUAUGGGGUAGAGGUAAAAUUCUGUAAUCCUAUACGGACUACCAGUGGCGUAGGCGCCCUACCAAAACGCGUCUGACAGUGAGGGACGAAGGCUAGGAGAACAAAUCGGAUUAGAUACCCGAGUAGCCCUAGCAGUAAAUGAUGCAGACUGUGGUGUUGCGUUGGCCUCGAGCCAAUGCAGUGCCGUAGCGUAGGUGUUUAGUCUGCCACCUGGGGAGUACGGCCGCAAGGUUGAAACUUAAAGGAAUUGGCGGGGGAGCACCACAAGGGGUGGAGGCUGCGGUUCAAUUGGAUUCAACGCCGGGAACAUUACCAGGCGCGACGGCAGGAUGAAGGUCAGACUAAAGAUCUUACCUAACGAGCCGAGAGGUAGUGCAUGGCCAUCGUCAGCUCGUGGUGCGAACUGUCCGGUUAAGUCCGGUAA